ACCUGGAAUAGAUACCCAUCAGGGGACACUGAAACCUGUGGCAGAAGAGCUGGUGUGCGCUACAGUGAGAGCUCAGGCAGAGCAGGAGUAGGCUGCAGUUCUUAGACUUGCCACCAGAUGGCGCCUCAACCCUGCACCAGGCACAGAUGCUUGGGAUCCAGCAUCCAGAGCAGACAGGCUAGGAAGAAAUUGCAGAGUCCACCAGGCUGAAACUUGUGCCAAGGAAGGGACAGAGCAGGCACAAAGCAUCCACCCCGACUUGGAUCUGUGGUUUCCACGAGGAGUAGCCAUGCGAUCACGAGGUUUGAGGAUGCGCCUUUCCCUACUGCUUAGCACAGUGAGAUCCUGUCUUCAUGUCUGACCCCCCGCAAAGACCCCUGCACAAGACUCUAGUAUAUGUGUGCCCUAUGAUGUGGUGCUGUCUUGGCUCCUCAUCCCAACAUGGUGCCAGUGACAGGAAGUUGACAGGCUGCAUGCUGUCGUCUGACCAUGAGACUCCUUCAGAGCCUCCAGAUAGCAAAUCGUCUGUCCGUGCUGUGGCCCUCGCCUCCUCUCUUGCCUCUGGGGGGCUUCUCUUUAUGCGUCCCUGUUUAAAGCUGGUUCUGUUGAGCAAGGCUGGCAAGUGGAUGAAAUGUAUCCCUGAGUCUGGAGCCUGUAGCCUCUCUUCCCUCAGCCAGCAAGAGUCAUGUGAGUGUAUGUGCCAGCCCAGUACCCACCACUGCUGCGGGCCGUCUCAGCAAUCCCACAGACUUUUCUUCCAUCCGCUAAGCACCCACUUCCUCACCUCCACUCAGUCCACCGGCCCUCUCUGAGAGGGAGCACUCCACCCAGUCCACCUGUCCUCUCUGAGUGGGAGCACCCCACCCAGUCCACCUGUCCUCUCUGAGUGGGAGCACCUCACCCAGUCCACCUGUCCUCUCUGAGAGGGAGCACCCCACCCAGUCCACCGGCCCUGUCCUCUCUGAGUGGGAGCACCUCACCCAGUCCACCUGUCCUCUCUGAGUGGGAGCACCUCACCCAGUCCACCUGUCCUCUCUGAGUGGGAGCACCUCACCCAGUCCACCUGUCCUCUCUGAGAGGGAGCACCUCACCCAGUCCACCUGUCCUCUCUGAGAGGGAGCACCCCACCCAGUCCACCUGUCCUCUCUGAGUGGGAGCACCCCACUCAGUCCACCUGCCCUCUCUGAGUGGGAGCACCCCACCCAGUCCACCGGCCCUCUCUGAGUGGGAGCACCUCACCCAGUCCACCUGUCCUCUCUGAGAGGGAGCACCCCACCCAGUCCACCUGUCCUCUCUGAGAGGGAGCACCCCACCCAGUCCACCGGCCCUCUCUGAGUGGGAGCACCCCACCCAGUCCACCUGUCCUCUCUGAGUGGGAGCACCCCACCCAGUCCACCUGUCCUCUCUGAGUGGGAGCACCUCACCCAGUCCACCUGUCCUCUCUGAGAGGGAGCACCUCACCCAGUCCACCUGUCCUCUCUGAGUGGGAGCACCUCACCCAGUCCACCUGUCCUCUCUGAGUGGGAGCACCCCACCCAGUCCACCUGUCCUCUCUGAGUGGGAGCACCCCACCCAGUCCACCUGUCCUCUCUGAGUGGGAGCACCCCACCCAGUCCACCUGUCCUCUCUGAGUGGGAGCACCCCACCCAGUCCACCUGUCCUCUCUGAGUGGGAGCACCUCACCCAGUCCACCUGUCCUCUCUGAGAGGGAGCACCUCACCCAGUCCACCUGUCCUCUCUGAGUGGGAGCACCUCACCCAGUCCACCUGUCCUCUCUGAGAGGGAGCACCUCACCCAGUCCACCUGUCCUCUCUGAGAGGGAGCACCCCACUCAGUCCACCUGCCCUCUCUGAGUGGGAGCACCUCACCCAGUCCACCUGUCCUCUCUGAGAGGGAGCACCCCACCCAGUCCACCGGCCCUCUCUGAGUGGGAGCACCUCACCCAGUCCACCUGUCCUCUCUGAGAGGGAGCACCCCACCCAGUCCACCUGUCCUCUCUGAGAGGGAGCACCCCACCCAGUCCACCUGUCCUCUCUGAGAGGGAGCACCCCACCCAGUCCACCUGCCCUCUCUGAGAGGGAGCACCCCACCCAGUCCACCUGUCCUCUCUGAGUGGGAGCACCUCACCCAGUCCACCUGUCCUCUCUGAGAGGGAGCACUCCACCCAGUCCACCUGUCCUCUCUGAGAGGGAGCACUCCACCAAGUCCACCUGCCCUGAGAGGGAGCACCCUCAGUAGCCUCUCAGCUGCCUGACUUUGAGACGUCCAGGCCAUGUGAGCCUGGCUGCCUUUAACUGAAGGGAAGGUAUGAGAGUAAAGUCUGUCUUGUUAUGCUGUGUGUGACCCUCUUCCAUGGGUCUUCCUCUUCUUGGUCCCCCCUUUCUGUCCCUGUUCCUCACUGCUCAUACACUUGCCUGUUGUCCUCAACAUAUUGCCCUCCUCCCUGCGGCUCCCACCUCUGCCUGGACCCACAACCUCACUUCCUCCAGCUCCCUGGGCCAUACUUCCUAGAAAGCCUCUGGGCCAGAGGCCUUGUGUUUUAGAGGGAGCAUGGGCUACAAUGGUCCUCCACCUCCCCCCCAACCCCCACAACCUCACCCAACCGGCAGCUGAAGAGCUAGCUGUCCACCACACACCCAUCCUAUGGCUAGCUGGUGCUGCUUCACCACAGAGGCUAGCCAGGAGAAACCACCAGGCCUCCCAGGAGGCAGCAGCCUCUUCUCACUGAGGCCUGUAUCAGUAAUAAAGGGUACUAUUAGUCAGUCCCUUGUUCACGUGCCAGAAGCUGCUUGCAAUAUGAGAGAGAUGUUUAAUUUAUCUCAGGAACUAGGCACGAGUUAUAAAAAUGGUAAUUUCUUGAAGAUUCAAUUAUGUGUUUUCAUUGUUACCCCGGUAAUCAAGGAAACGAUUUUUAAUGAUAGGCUGGAAGAUAGUACCAAUCUUGGAGGGAGGAGGGUGCAGGCUGGUGAUUAGGGACCAGAAGGACAAUGCCUAUGGACCAGUAGGGCCAAACACCCCGUGUAUGGCAGUCCCUGCAGCCAUCUGUGUUCUCAGUCUCCCACCUGCCAGUGAGCCCACCUCUGCAGAACUUCAGUCAUCUAUCUUCUGGGGUCUCUGCAGGAGCAACCAGGGGCCCCUCAGG
rnacentral:lncRNA from 1 species